CUUUUGUGCAAGUCCCUUUAAAGUUGAAGGCUCAACAAAAUCUUUUCCUUUCUCAAAUAACUCAUCGAUUGACUUGCAUAGCUCAGCAUUUUUGUUCACCAAUUUUUUACGCUUCUCCCUGGGUGAAUUGAACUUGCGAGCGGUUUUGACAAAGGCAAUGACAAAAGUGAUGCCAAAGUAAGUCAAGGGCACCGUAAGAAUCCAUGGGAAAGAGCUAGAUCCAAUCCUAGGGCCAGGAAUUGCCUGAGUCACAGAACCGGUGAACUCAACCAGGUCUAAUGCUUUCUCUUGUAUCCAUGGCAUCUCCUCUUCCUCCUCAUCUUCCAAAACUUCUUUCUUUUUGUCACUACUGACAUUUGCGCCACUGUCACUCUUUGCUGCUCUAGUCGAAAAGCCAACUGUGACAACAAAAGUAUUGCUUCUGUGUCUGGGAAAACUCAAAGUCCUAUUGAUGGGAGUAGAUAAGGUUGGGAUAUAUUGGGAUGUGGAGGCAACAUGCGGAUGAGAGAAAUUGAGAACUGUACAAGCAGACGCAGCCAUGGGAGACACCGUUAGUCUUAGUAGUGAUGGUUGUAAUAGGUUUGGG
rnacentral:misc_RNA from 1 species